rnacentral:rRNA from 1 species
UACGUAGGGGGCCAGCGUUGUCCGAAGUUCCUGGGCGUAAAGAGCGCGUAGGCGGGUCUUUAAGUGAGAGGUGAAAUUCUGAGGCUCAACCUCGGAACUGCCUUUCAUACUGGGGACCUUGAGUGCGGGAGAGGCGAGUGGAAUGGUCGGUGUAGCGGUGAAAUGCGUAGAUAUCGAUCGGAACACCCAUGGCGAAGGCAGCUCGCUGGCCUGCAACUGACGCUGAGGCGCGAAAGCCGGGGGAGCAAACAGG